rnacentral:tRNA from 1 species
GUGUAGCUCAGUGGUAGAGCACUUGUCUAGCAUUCAUGAAUUCUUGGGUUCCAUUCCUGGCAC